rnacentral:rRNA from 1 species
GCGCGCAGGCGAGAAACCUCCGCAAUACACGAAAGUGUGACGGGGCCAUCCCGAGUGCCGUCCGCUGAGGACGGCUUUUCCCCAGUGUACACGAGCUGGGGGAAUAAGGAGAGGGCAAGCCUGGUGUCAGCCGCCGCGGUAAUACCAGCUCUCCGAGUGGUGGGGACGCUUAUUGGGCCUAAAGCAUCCGUAGCCGGCUGGGCAAGUCCUCCGUUAAAUCCAACGAUUCAAUCGUUGGGCUGCGGGGGAUACGUGUCCAGCUUGGGGGCGGGAGAGGCC